CUGGUACAAGAGACCCCUAGGACUGCUCUUUGUGUCACCUGGGUGUCUUUCACCCAAAGCAUUUCCAAGCAAGGGAAGCAUUUGUAAAGCUUACCAAGUAAAUUGACAGGCCUCCUCCUUCCACACAAAUGCACAGAGAAUUCAGGGAAUUCAGGAGCUCUGAGACUGUUCUCUAGCAACACUCCUCAAUAAUGCAGCUUGGAGAGACAAAUGCUAAGGGCCUGCUGCUGAGCUGGGCACUGCUGGCAGAGCUGGCCUCAAGUUGGUCUAACAGAGAUUUGCACAAUGACUCAAAGCUGCACCAUCCCAAAACUGUAAUUACAGCUGGACACAUCUCUCCUAACAAAGGCAAUUGUGACCCCCUCAGACAAAAAUUCCAUAUAGAAGUGUCACAGUUCCCAAGAGCUUUGCUGGAUUCUGGGCCCAGUUCAUUCCUCCUGGCCAAACAGACCCUCAGGAGAUUCUAAUGGGCUCCCACAAAACACCUACAAGCUGAGAAUGUCCCAAGGCUUCAACAGGACACCAGACAAACAUUAGGAUGUCACAGAGGGAUAUGCUCCGUCAAGGAGAGUUGUAAUUUUAAUCUGGUUUCUGGGCACUUCUGCUGCUCCUGACACAGGUCCAGCAGGGAAAACCAUGACACCCCAUCUAUCUGGAUCUGCAGGCCAUGCAUGAGAUGUGUAGCCUGGCCCCAGGACAGACCAUGUGUUCUGUCAUUUCACAUUAGAAAAGCUCUGGGGUCCCUAUCCCAAAGGGAAGAAGACAUCAUUGCACAGCUCCAAAGCAUACGAACACAAGCUUUUUGUAGGAGCCAGAAAGCCCAAAGAACCCUUGCUCAAGGUGGCAGGGUCAUGGUUUACCAAAUCCACUCUCUGUACCAAGGAGAAACAACUAUUCUUAAAUUCUUGGAUGUAGCCUGGAAAAUGUUUAGUAAUAAAAUUCGCAGAGAAACUGUGAGUUUUCCCUUGGCAGUCUAUCUCAGGUUCACAGGACAGCCUGCUCUUCUGUGACUUACUUGAAAGGCCUGCCAGCAGAUUCCUCAUUCCAGGCUCUUGAAACCUGAAGGUUAGUCCC
rnacentral:lncRNA from 1 species